rnacentral:rRNA from 1 species
GCAACAUCGGUCCAAUCCUUAAAGUCAUCCUCAGUUCGGACUGGGGUCUGCAACCCGACCCCACGAAGCUGGAUUCGCUAGUAAUCGCGCAUCAGCCAUGGCGCGGUGAAUACGUUCCCGGGCCUUGUACACGCCGCCCGUCAAGCCAUGAAANCCGGGGGGCGCCUGAAGUCCGUGACCGCGAGGGUCGGCCUAGGGUGAAACCGGUGAUUGGGGCUAAGUCGUAACAAGGUAGC